rnacentral:misc_RNA from 1 species
CUGAACUGUCGACAUGAGCUGUUGCUGGUCUCCAAACGGGACAUGUGCACGCUCUGUCAACACAUCCACUCACACCUGUGCACCCUCUGUAGUCCCGUUGCCUGGGGGCUCUGCCCCCCUGGUGUGGUUCUACGUCUUUACACAUACUCUGUAACAAAGUCUCAUGGAAUGUGCAUCGCGUAUAACGCAAUACAAUA